GCCUGCGUCGAAAACAAUGUUGGAUAGUGAAGAAGAAGAAGAAGAAGAAGCAGAAGAAAAAGAAGAAGAUACUGAUAAGCCGUAUAUAAACAGUGCAACUUGUUGCAACACUGCAUGAGUCUAGUGUGACAGCCUGGCUGCAAGGUAAACAUCUCAUCAGGGCUGCCAACUUCAUCAAGGCAUCGUUUCUCGUGAUGGCUACAAAGCUCCUCUUCGGCCUUUUCGUUUGGGGUCUUUGCUGUUUCAUCUGCUGCACGGACGCACUGAGCAGCGGACGACGAGCCGCUGUUCUCGACCUUCCUCACGUAGGGGCCAACGUCACCUGCGAGGAGGAACACAAGUGCAACGCCACAGGUCUCGUGGCCAUGUGCAACAAUUGCACGCGCUAUUUCUUUAGCUGCAGCGAAUCGCAGCUCGGAAAGCAAGCAACUGUUAAAAGGUGCCCGGGUACUACACGCUUCAGUUACAAUCCAGAUUGUCCCUUGUGUAUACUACAGGAAGACUGCGAAGCAAAUGUGUGCCCUACUUCUGCGCCUGCGUCACGUGUCCAGGUUGACCCGAGGACGCGGAGCCAGGAUAAACCUAGGCCUAGGAACAUAGUUGAUGUCUCCGACUGAGCUUGAUUCUUGCCGAUUACAUUUAGGGAUUGGAAUCGUUUCUCUUUUUUUUUUUUCUGGUUAUGCUGAUACACUGACGAGAUUUACUGGUUUACGAUGCUCCCUUUGUUCUAACGAUCGAUUGCUUUUGUUUGGUUUGGUCAUAUAGGGUUGCAUAAUGGCAAUUUAUAAUUAUAUUCAACUAUCUCGAGACAACUGUGGUAAUAUGUACUUUGCGAUUGAAGCGUGGGGUCACCAUAGCUAUUACGAUAAAUUGUUUUUAUUUCAUUAUUAAUUUCAUAAUGAACAGAUUUCUUGUAUAGUUAUCCUACUGUUUAAAAAAAACCUGACAUUGUUAUGGUUUUAUAAAAGACUGUAAUCUUUCAAUUAAUAAACUAUGAUGUACUACAGAAA